rnacentral:rRNA from 1 species
UACGAAGGGUGCAAGCGUUACUCGGAAUUACUGGGCGUAAAGCGUGCGUAGGUGGUGCGUUAAGUCUGUCGUGAAAGCCCCGGGCUCAACCUGGGAAUGGCGAUGGAUACUGGCGCGCUAGAGUGCGGUAGAGGGUAGUGGAAUUCCCGGUGUAGCAGUGAAAUGCGUAGAGAUCGGGAGGAACAUCUGUGGCGAAGGCGACUACCUGGACCAGCACUGACACUGAGGCACGAAAGCGUGGGGAGCAAACAGG